UACGGGGGGAGCAAGCGUUGUUCGGAUUUACUGGGCGUAAAGGGUUCGUAGGUGGCCAACUAAGUCAGACGUGAAAUCCCUCAGCUUAACUGGGGAACUGCGUCUGAGACUGGAUGGCUUGAGCGCAGGAGAGGAACGCGGAAUUCCAGGUGUAGCGGUGAAAUGCGUAGAGAUCCGGAGGAACACCAGUGGCGAAGGCGACACGCUGGGCCGUACCUGACACUGAGGCGCGAUAGCAUGGGGAGCAAACAGG
rnacentral:rRNA from 1 species